UACGUAGGGUGCAAGCGUUGUCCGGAAUUAUUGGGCGUAAAGAGCGUGUAGGCGGCCCGAUUAGUCCGCUGUGAAAGUCCAGGGCUCAACCCUGGAAUGCCGGUGGAUACUGUCGGGCUAGAGUCCGGAAGGGGCGAGUGGAAUUCCUGGUGUAGCGGUGAAAUGCGCAGAUAUCAGGAAGAACACCCGUGGCGAAGGCGGCAUCCUGGACCAAUAUUGACGCUGAGGAGCGAAAACCAGGGGAGCAAACGGG
rnacentral:rRNA from 1 species